ensembl:rRNA 5S_rRNA 5S ribosomal RNA
GCCAGCAGCCAUAUCACCCAGCAACUUAUAACUGGCAACCCAGUGAAGCUAAGCAGGUGUGAGCCUGGUCAGUACCUGGAUGGGAGACCUCCUGGGAAAAACUAAGGUUGCUGCUGGAA